GUCGAAACAUUUCACAAAAAAGGUGAUUCUCUCUAAUGACUCUUCCGAGGAUUUUCUCAUUUUCCUCUCGUCGGAUUUCCCUCGGAUUUCGCCGUUAGCAGCCUCCAAGCUGUGACCAGACCCGCCCCCGUUUGGUCUGUCUCUUCCAGACGAGGAGGCUAAGGUGCGUUCAUCCUCUCGUCCCCCAUCGGAGCUCGCCUUCCCUCUCGGCGUUCCGGAGAGCUUACCAUCGCAGAUUCGUCGGGCGACCCCAGUCGGCAUUCCCUCUCUAACCAGACCGAGUCUAGAAUGGGUCUGUUUUCUUCCCUCGACCCACUGCUCGCAACGUGUUCGUUGAAAUGCCUAAACCGACCCACCAUGUCUUGUCCCGAAUCUGAGCAUUGUUUUAGUCGUUCUUGGUUGCUUUGUGCCCCGAUUGUCAUCAGCAUUGAGAGUUCAACGGAUUAUACUGUUUGUGUCGAUGUGGGUUGUGGCCGGUGAGGAUGAGCGGUGGUGUUCCUUUGCGGAGAGCUAUGGUUGUUGAAGCUUCAUCGUGGAAUUCUAGGUAGGAAUUUCAUGUGAGAGAUGUACGACGGAAUAGAUUGAUGGAGGAGAGUUAAGGAUGGCAUUGGCUGAUGAUGAUAGGUGAAUGCAGUGCUUGGUAAUGGAAGUCUUGCAGUAGGCAAUAAUAGGUCAUCGGCGGUGGGGUGUAUAUGUUCAAUGCACUGACACUUUGGCUGAUUUCUCACGCUGUUUGAUAUGCGGAGCGUAUAUUUUCAAAGAUUACACUUCUAUUUAUUUCCUUAUCUUUUUAUUUUAGAAA